UACGUAGGGACCAAGCGUUGUUCGGAUUUACUGGGCGUAAAGGGCGCGUAGGCGGCGUGACAAGUCACUUGUGAAAUCUCUGGGCUUAACCCAGAACGGCCAAGUGAAACUGUUGUGCUAGAGUGCAGAAGGGGCAAUCGGAAUUCUCGGUGUAGCGGUGAAAUGCGUAGAUAUCGAGAGGAACACCAGAGGUGAAGACGGGGUUGCUGGGCUGACACUGACGCUGAUGCGCGAAAGCCAGGGGAGCAAACGGG
rnacentral:rRNA from 1 species